rnacentral:rRNA from 1 species
CUACUCGAAAGAGUGGCUAAUACCGCAUACGCCCUACGGGGGAAAGGGGGGGAUCGCAAGACCUCUCACUAUUGGAGCGGCCGAUAUCGGAUUAGCUAGUUGGUGGGGUAAAGGCUCACCAAGGCAACGAUCCGUAGCUGGUUUGAGAGGACGACCAGCCACACUGGGACUGAGACACGGCCCAAACUCCUACGGGAGGCAGCAGUGGGGAAUUUUGGACAAUGGGGGAAACCCUGAUCCAGCCAUCCCGCGUGUAUGAUGAAGGCCUUCGGGUUGUAAAGUACUUUUGGCAGAGAAGAAAAGGUAUCCCCUAAUACGGGAUACUGCUGACGGUAUCUGCAAAAUAAGCACCGGCUAACUACGUGCCAGCAGCCGCGGUAAUACGUAGGGUGCAAGCGUUAAUCGGAAUUACUGGGCGUAAAGCGUGUGUAGGCGGUUCGGAAAGAAAGAUGUGAAAUCCCAGGGCUCAACCUUGGAACUGCAUUUUUAACUGCCGAGCUAGAGUAUGUCAAAGGGGGGUAGAAUUCCACGUGUAGCAGUGAAAUGCGUAGAUAUGUGGAGGAAUACCGAUGGCGAAGGCAGCCCCCUGGGAUAAUACUGACGCUCAGACACGAAAGCGUGGGGAGCAAACAGGAUUAGAUACCCUGGUAGUCCACGCCCUAAACGAUGUCAACUAGCUGUUGGGGCCGUUAGGCCUUACUAGCGCAGCUAACGCGUGAAGUUGACCGCCUGGGGAGUACGGUCGCAAGAUUAAAACUCAAAGGAAUUGACGGGGACCCGCACAAGCGGUGGAUGAUGUGGAUUAAUUCGAUGCAACGCGAAAAACCUUACCUACCCUUGACAUGUCUGGAAAGCCGAAGAGAUUUGGCCGUGCUCGCAAGAGAACCGGAACACAGGUGCUGCAUGGCUGUCGUCAGCUCGUGUCGUGAGAUGUUGGGUUAAGUCCCGCAACGAGCGCAACCCUUGUCAUUAGUUGAUACGCAAGAGCACUCUAAUGAGACUGCCGGUGACAAACCGGAGGAAGGUGGGGAUGACGUCAAGUCCUCAUGGCCCUUAUGGGUAGGGCUUCACACGUCAUACAAUGGUCGGGACAGAGGGUCGCCAACCCGCGAGGGGGAGCCAAUCUCAGAAACCCGAUCGUAGUCCGGAUUGCAGUCUGCAAC